GACGAACGCUGGCGGCGUGCCUAAUACAUGCAAGUCGAGCGAAUUUUUAGGAGCUUGCUCCUAAAAAUUAGCGGCGGACGGGUGAGUAACACGUGGACAACCUGCCUAUAAGACUGGGAUAACUUCGGGAAACCGGAGCUAAUACCGGAUAAUUCCUUUCCUCACAUGGGGGAAGGCUGAAAGACGGUUUCGGCUGUCACUUAUAGAUGGGCCCGCGGCGCAUUAGCUAGUUGGUGAGGUAAUGGCUCACCAAGGCAACGAUGCGUAGCCGACCUGAGAGGGUGAUCGGCCACACUGGGACUGAGACACGGCCCAGACUCCUACGGGUGGCUG
rnacentral:rRNA from 1 species